UGGGGGAUAUUGCACAAUGGGCGAAAGCCUGAUGCAGCGACGCCGCGUGGGGGAUGAAUGCCUUCGGGUUGUAAACUUCUUUUGCUCUGAACAAGGCAUGCUAAUGGGUGUGUUGAGUGUAGGGGUUGAUUAGCGCCGGCUAACUACGUGCCAGCAGCCGCGGUAAUACGUAGGGCGCGAGCGUUGUCCGGAAUUAUUGGGCGUAAAGGGCUUGUAGGUGGCUGGUUGCGUCUGUCGUGAAAGCUCAUGGCUUAACUGUGGGUUUGCGGUGGGUACGGGCUGGCUGGAGUGCAGUAGGGGAGGCUGGAAUUCCUGGUGUAGCGGUGGAAUGCGCAGAUAUCAGGAGGAAUACCGGUGGCGAAGGCGGGUCUCUGGGCUGUUACUGACACUGAGGAGCGAAAGCAUGGGGAGCGAACAGG
rnacentral:rRNA from 1 species